rnacentral:rRNA from 1 species
CGAACGGGUGAGUAAUGCGUGACCAACCUGCCCCAUGCUCCAGAAUAGCUCUUGGAAACGGGUGGUAAUGCUGGAUGCUCCAACUUGACGCAUGUCUUGUUGGGAAAGUGUUUAGUGGCAUGGGAUGGGGUCGCGUCCUAUCAGCUUGUAGGCGGGGUAAUGGCCCACCUAGGCUUCGACGGGUAGCCGGCCUGAGAGGGCGGACGGCCACAUUGGGACUGAGAAACGGUCCAAACUCCUACGGGAGGCAGCAGAG